rnacentral:rRNA from 1 species
AUUGAACGCUGGCGGCAUGCUUUACACAUGCAAGUCGAACGGCAGCGCGGGCUUCGGCCUGGCGGCGAGUGGCGAACGGGUGAGUAAUGCAUCGGAACGUGCCCAGUAGUGGGGGAUAGCCCGGCGAAAGCCGGAUUAAUACCGCAUACGACCUGAGGGUGAAAGCGGGGGACCGAAAGGCCUCGCGCUAUUGGCGCGGCCGAUGUCGGAUUAGCUAGUUGGUGGGGUAAAGGCUUACCAAGGCGACGAUCCGUAGCUGGUCUGAGAGGACGACCAGCCACACUGGAACUGAGACACGGCCCAGACUCCUACGGGAGGCAGCAGUGGGGAAUUUUGGACAAUGGGGGCAACCCUGAUCCAGCCAUGCCGCGUGCGGGAAGAAGGCCUUCGGGUUGUAAACCGCUUUUGUUCGGGAAGAAAUCCUCUGUGCUAAUACCCCGGGGGGAUGACGGUACCGGAAGAAUAAGCACCGGCUAACUACGUG